GGAUGCAUAGCUCAGUGGUAGAGCAAUUAACUGGCGAUCAAUAGGUCACCGGUUUGAACCCGUUUGGGCCCU
rnacentral:tRNA from 1 species